GAACCCACCAGAAGGAACCAAUUCCGGACAGCAAAGGGUAUCAGGAAAAGUGUGGAGUGUGGUACAAAAUGCAGGAGGAAAGGUGAACUGAGGAAGAAGAUCAUUGAGACAUUGACAGUGACACUGUCAGGGAAACCAAGAGCCAAGGAACCCAUGACUAUUGAGGUCAAACAUAAAACAGCAGUAG